rnacentral:rRNA from 1 species
UACGAAGGGGGCUAGCGUUGCUCGGAACUCACGUGGCGUAAAGCGUGCGCAGGCGGUUCGUUAAGUUCGUUGUGAAAGCCCCGGGCUCAACCUGGGAACUGCAAUGGAAACUGGCGGGCUUGAGUGCGGCAGAGGGGGGUGGAAUUCCGCGUGUAGCAGUGAAAUGCGUAGAGAUGCGGAGGAACACCGAUGGCGAAGGCAGCCCCCUGGGUCGACACUGACGCUCAGGCACGAAAGCGUGGGGAGCAAACAGG